rnacentral:snoRNA from 1 species
GAAAUCAUACUAUACAGAAUCAUUUCUGCAGUGUGUAUUUCGCGAUCCCAACCAAAAAGCGACACCUGUCCGCCGCGAUGAACGGGAAACGGGCGAGUUGCGAGCGGGAAGAACGCGGCUUGCCGCGCUGAGGACCGCGACGCGGCCGCAAGGCUGUGUCAGCGACUCGCUCUUCUGAGCGGU